rnacentral:rRNA from 1 species
AGUGAACGCUGGCGGCGUGCUUAACACAUGCAAGUCGAACGAGAACGGAAUAUAGCUUGCUAUAUUUGUCAGCUAAGUGGCGCACGGGUGAGUAAUAUAUAGAUAACCUGCCCUUAAGAAAGGAAUAACAGUUGGAAACGAAUGCUAAUGCCCUAUAUGCCUUUAAUACAUAAGUAUGCAAGGGAAACGCUUUAGUGCUUAAGGAUGGGUCUGUAUGGUAUCAGCUUGUUGGUGAGGUAAUGGCUCACCAAGGCUAUGACGCCUAACUGGUUUGAAAGGAUGAUCAGUCACACUGGAACUGAGACACGGUCCAGACUCCUACGGGAGGCAGCAGUGGUGAAUAUUGCACAAUGGACGAAAGUCUGAUGCAGCAACGCCGCGUGGAGGAUGACACAUUUCGGUGCGUAAACUCCUGUUAUAUAGGAAGAUGAUGACGGUACUAUAUGAAUAAGCACCGGCUAACUCCGUGCCAGCAGCCGCAGUAA